UACGAACCGUGCGAACGUUGUUCGGAAUUACUGGGCGUAAAGGGCUCGUAGGCGGCCAACUAAGUCGGAUGUGAAAUCCCCAAGCUUAACUUGGGAACUGCAUCCGAUACUGGAUGGCUUGAAUCCGGGAGAGGGAUGCAGAAUUCCAGGUGUAGCGGUGAAAUGCGUAGAUAUCUGGAGGAAUACCGGUGGCGAAGGCGGCAUCCUGGACCGGCAUUGACGCUGAGGAGCGAAAGCUAGGGGAGCAAACGGG
rnacentral:rRNA from 1 species